rnacentral:tRNA from 1 species
GUGUUCAUGGUGUAGUGGUCAACAAGCUCGACUCGUAUUCGAGAGGUCCUUGGUUCAAGUCCCAGCGAGUCA